UUGGCUCAGAACGAACGCUGGCGGCGUGCCUAAUACAUGCAAGUCGAGCGGACAGAUGGGAGCUUGCUCCCUGAUGUUAGCGGCGGACGGGUGAGUAACACGUGGGUAACCUGCCUGUAAGACUGGGAUAACUCCGGGAAACCGGGGCUAAUACCGGAUGGUUGUUUGAACCGCAUGGUUCAAACAUAAAAGGUGGCUUCGGCUACCACUUACAGAUGGACCCGCGGCGCAUUAGCUAGUUGGUGAGGUAACUGGCUCACCAAGGCAACGAUGCGUAGCCGACCUGAGAGGGUGAUCGGCCACACUGGGACUGAGACA
rnacentral:rRNA from 1 species